AGAACAACUACUACAUUUGCCUCUUGAUUUGCCUUUCCAGCCUUAUAUCCAGAACGAAUUAUUUAUAAGCAUCUUGGCCAUAAGAUCAUGCCUGAAACGCAUUUGUUAAUCCCAGUCAUAACAAAGUAGUCACACCCACGCUUUUCGUUCAUCUGUGGUCCAUUAUUUGCGGCAUGAUACUUACAUCAUUUACCAGCUGUCGCUUGUUGGGGCUCAGUCGACACAGAAACUAACCGGUCCACGGUAUCAAGUGUGUUGAGGGGAUAUAGCUCUUUACGUUGAUCAGGGCAUUUGCUAUUGCCCACCACACGAUAUUUUCAAACACCAUAAUGUCUUUCAUUGCAGGGUCGUUAAACGAGGAAAGCAUACAAAAGCAUCAUCAACAAGCGUCAAGCUUUGAACAGCUCCGACAAGGGGGAAGGGGCUGGGGAGGGGUAUGACACGUCGGCUAGGGGUAUGAACGAAAUAACAGGUUAUACGUAUUGUAAGCAAGAAAAUCAAUAGUCCUCUGUAACCAGUAACCCGCAAAAGAGUCAAGCGAAAAACGAAAGAGGAUGGAAAAAGAGAUAGUCUUGAAGAUGAUUUUAGACUAACGCUUCACUCUACAUUGCCUCAACGGCUUCCUCAACCAAACCACUCCAUCCCUCGCACAUCAGCGAGCUCCAAAGAUGCCAUCCUCCUACAACAACUACAACUAACAUCACCAGGGCCUUCAUCCGGCUUUUUCGGCCUUGAUGUUGUUGAUACGGUGUGAGUGUACCGUUAAUGAAGGACGAGAAAGCGGGAGAGAAUUGGUGGGCGGAUUUGGCAGAGAUGGAAGAAUGUUGGCAAUGUCCUUGGAAGACGGGAGGAGAAGAGCCGGGUGGGGGUAAUGGAAGCGAGGUAGGAGCCAAGAGGACGGUUUGUUUUGGUGGAGGGAAAGGACGAGGGUUAAGAUGAGGUGGUUCGGCUGGAAAAAUACAUGUUUAGUUUGAAUUGCAUUUUAGAAGGAGAUGUAAACCUACUCAAG
rnacentral:sRNA from 1 species